rnacentral:miRNA from 1 species
GAGAGCCCAUGAGACUCAAACA